rnacentral:rRNA from 1 species
AUGGUAAGACCGUUUUAUUGGGGUGCUGAAAAAGGUAAAAGGAAGGUGCAUUGGCGCGCUUGGGAUGACUUGGUGCAACCAAAGAGUAAAGGAGGUGCGGGGUUCAGAGAUUUUAGAAUAUUCAACCAAGCCUUACUAGCGAGGCAAGCAUGGAGACUAAUUUAUAAACCUGACAGUCUCUGUGCGCAAGUGUUAAAAGCAAGAUAUUACCCGAAUGGCAAUAUUCAGGAUACUGUUUUCUCUGGCAAUGCUUCGUCUUCGUCGCAAGCUAUUAGCUAUGGCCUUGACCUCUUGAAGAAGGGCUUAAUUUGGAGAGUGGGGAAUGGCAGAAGUAUCCGCGUGUGGCGUGAUAACUGGAUCCCGAGACCCUUCUCCUACAAACCCAUUACUCUGCAGGGGAGAUGUAGGAUACGAUUUGUCUCAGAUUUGCUGAAUAAUAAUGGGUCAUGGAAUGCUGCUGUGCUACAGGAAUUCUUCCUUCCAGCUGAUGUGGUCGAAAUUUUGAAGAUUCGGGCUUCCCCCCGUCAGGAGGAUGACACACUUGCUUGGGGUCCCGGUAAAUACGGAGUUUUUUCGGUCAGAAGUGCAUAUGAGUUUGGUUUUGAAGAGGCUCACAGGAGCUCCGCUACGGGAUCUAGUGCUCAUCCGGAUGGGCGUCGCAGCUGCUGGAAACUAAUUUGGUCCUCUGAUGUUCUCCCCACGGUCAAGAACUUUGCAUGGCGGGUAGCUACUAACUCGCUGCCAACAUGGAGAAACAAAAAUAGGAGAGGACUGGAAGUGCAUGCCUUGUGCCCUGUUUGUGCUUCAGAACCGGAAGACUGCCAUCAUGCGCUGUGCCGUUGUACGCUGUCAAGAGGCCUCUGGGACACGAUGUCUGAAGUUUGGCCGCUGCCGUGCCUAGCAACAGUACUAAAUAAUGGUGAUGAAUGGCUUUUGCAUAUGCUAGAACCACUACAGGAAGUGGAAAGAUCCAUGGUCCUCAUGACGUUUUGGAGAGCCUGGCAUAUUCGGAAUGAGAUCGUGCAUCAUAAACCUCCUCCGCCUAUGGAAGCUUCUAAAAGGUUUUUGGUGAGCUACAUGGAUUCUCUCAUUGGUAUUAAAACAGAUCUUUCAUCUGAUCCCAAUAGAGGAAAGUCGUACAUCACGUAUGAGCCCAGAAUGCCACAUGCGAUACUGAAUAUAGCCGAGCGCAAAUGGUCUGCUCCUAAGCUGGGUUGGGUGAAGCUUGAAAUUGAUGGUUCGUUUAUGGAUGAUGGGUCUGCUGGUGCUGGGAUGGUGUUACGAGAUGAUAAGGGUGCAAUUAUAUUCUCGUCCUGCAGACAGUUAUUUUCUUGCCGAGAUGCUCUUGAAGCCGAGCUUUGUGCGUGUAUGAAAGGUUUGUCCUUUGCACUACAGAGAAGUGAACUACCGGUGCAGAUGGAGAUGGAUUCAAUAGUGGCGGUCAAAUUAAUCCAGGCUUCGGGGAUGGACAGAUCGGUCUACACGUCGGUCAUCAAAGAGAUUAAAUACCUAAUGUCCCUUCGUGAAACUUGUAUUACUCAUGUAAAUUGCAGCUAAAAUAAGGUUAGUGAUAGUCUAGCAAGAUUUGCUCGUGUUGAGGGAAGAACCUUGACUUGGCUAGGGUCUGGCCCUCCAGAAGUUUUAGAGCUAGCUGCGAUUAAUUGUAUGAACCUUGGGAACGAGUAA